rnacentral:rRNA from 1 species
CGGGGAGGUAGUGACAAGAAAUAUUGAUAUUGGACCCAAAGGGUACAAUGAUUGAAAUGAGAACAAUAUAAAAAACUUAACGACUAACAAUUGGAGGGCAAGUCUGGUGCCAGCAGCCGCGGUAAUUCCAGCUCCAAGAGUGUAUAUUAAAGUUGUUGCGGUUAAAAAGCUCGUAGUUGAAUUUCUGAAAAUAAUCUUGUGAUUGAUUUAACCGUCAUGAACAAAAUUGUUUACAUACUUGAUAGAUGGAAACAUUUAUCUUAAUGACUUUGAAAAAUUAGAGUGUUCAAAGCAUGAUUCACAUUUUGAAUAAUACAGCAUGGGAUAAUAUAAUAUGACAUUAGUUAAAAUUUGUUGGUUUCUUUUGGCUAAUGUAAUGAUUAAAAGGGACAGUUGGAGUAAUUUAUAUUGGUUGGGGAGGGUGAAAUCCUAUGAUCCUUCCAAGAUAAACUAGUGCGAAAGCAUUUUACUAGGAUGUUUUCAUUAAUCAAGAACGAAGUUUGGGGGAUCGAAGAUGAUCAGAUACCGUCGUAGUCUC